rnacentral:rRNA from 1 species
GACGAACGCUGGCGGCGUGCUUAACACAUGCAAGUCGAGCGGUAAGGCCCUUUCGGGGGUACACGAGCGGCGAACGGGUGAGUAACACGUGGGUGACCUGCCCUCAGCUCUGGGAUAAGCCCGGGAAACUGGGUCUAAUACUGGAUAUGACUCCAUGACGCAUGUUGUGGGGUGGAAAGCCUUGUGCGGCUGAGGAUGGGCCCGCGGCCUAUCAGCUUGUUGGUGGGGNGAUGGCCUACCAAGGCGACGACGGGUAGCCGGCCUGAGAGGGCGACCGGCCACACUGGGACU